rnacentral:rRNA from 1 species
GACGAACGCUGGCGGCGUGCCUAAUACAUGCAAGUAGGACGCAGUUGCGAACGGGUGAGUUACGCGUAGGUCACUGCCUAUGGGAGGGGGAUAACUAUUGGAUACGAUAGCUACUACCGCAUACUAGUAGAUGGACCUGCGUUGUAUUAGCUAGUAGGUAGGGUAAUGGCCUACCUAGGCAACGAUACAUAGCCGACCUGAGAGGGUGAUCGGCCACACUGGGACUGAGACACGGCCCAGACUCCUACGGGAGGCAGCAGUAGGGAAUCUUCGGCAAUGGGGGGAACCCUGACCGAGCAACGCCGCGUGAGUGAAGAAGGUUUUCGGAUUGUAAAGCUCUGUUGUUAAGGAAGCGGUACUUAACCAGAAAGGGACGGCUAACUACGUGCCAGCAGCCGCGGUAAUUC